UAAUUAAGAACCCCACCCCUAUAUUAAACAAUUCUAUAAAAUUUAUAGAAACUUUUAUGUUAAAACUAGUAACAAGAAUAAAAAAUUCUCCUUAAUGCAAAUGUAAAUCAGACAGGAUACACCGCUGAUAAUCAACGCCCAUGAGCCAGUAGUAGCAACCCAGCAAGAAAACCCUCCUUUUCCCAACGUUAACCUUACACAAGAGCAUUUUAAGAAAGAUUAAAAGAAUAAGAAGGAACUCGGCAAAAUCUAACCCCGCCUGUUUACCAAAAACAUCGCCUCUUGGAACCCAUAAGAGGUCCAGCCUGCCCAGUGACCCUGUUCAACGGCCGCGGUAUCCUAACCGUGCGAAGGUAGCGUAAUCACUUGUUCUUUAAAUGAGGACUAGUAUGAAUGGCACCACGAAGGUUAUACUGUCUCCUUCCUCUAAUCAGUGAAACUAAUCUCCCCGUGAAGAAGCGGGGAUAAGCCUAUAAGACGAGAAGACCCUAUGGAGCUUUAAACACAGUAAUAAAUGNCCCCCCCCCCCUUUUUUCUAUUCAAAUCUCCGGAAAACUACUUUAUCUGAGCAUCCUAUUUACAAGUUUUAGGUUGGGGUGACCGCGGAGUAAAAAAUAACCUCCACAGUGAAUGGAAUCUUUUUCCUAAACUCAGGGCCACAACCCUAAAAAUCAAUAAAUUGACACCCAUUGACCCAAUAUUUUGAUCAAUGAACCAAGUUACCCUAGGGAUAACAGCGCAAUCCACUUCAAGAGCUCCUAUCGACAAGUGGGUUUACGACCUCGAUGUUGGAUCAGGGUACCCCAGUGGUGCAGCCGCUGCUAAANNUUCGNUNGUUNNNCGAUUAAAACCCUACGUGAUCUGAGUUCANACCGGNNUAAUCCAGGUCAGUUUCUAUCUAUAAAGAGUUUCUUCNAGUACGAAAGGACCGNANNANNAUGGCCAANGCCANNNNNNNGCCAUACAACCU
rnacentral:rRNA from 1 species